UAGUUUUAGUGGAUGUAUGUAUAUGUAUGUAUGUAUACACACACACAUAUACAUAUAUAUAUACAUAUAUAUAUCAUAUAUAUAUAGGCCACAUGUGUGGCCAUUCCUUCAGUCUCUGCUCCAAAUUUUGCCUCCAUAUCUCCUCCUAAGAACGUUUUUGUCCCCCCCCCUUUUUUUUAUCUUUAUUAACUUGAGUAUUUCUUAUUUACAUUUCGAGUGUUAUUCCCCUUCCUGGUUUCCGGGCCAACAUCCCCCUAGCCUCUCCCCCUCCCCUUCUUUAUGGGGUUCCCCUCCCCAUCCUUCCCCCAUUACCACCCUCCCCCCCAACAAUCACGUUCACUGGGGGUUCAGUCUUAGCAGGACCAAGGGCUUCCCCUUCCACUGGUGCUCUUACCAGGAUAUUCAUUGCUACCUAUGAGGUUAGUGUCCAGGGUCAGUCCAUGUAUAAUCUUUGGGUAGUGGCUUAGUCCCUGGAAGCUCUGGUUGCUUGGCAUUGUUGUUCAUAUGGGGU
rnacentral:lncRNA from 1 species